rnacentral:rRNA from 1 species
UACGUAGGGGGCAAGCGUUGUCCGGAUUUAUUGGGCGUAAAGAGCGUGUAGGCGGCCAGGUAGGUCUGCUGUGAAAACUCGAGGCUUAACCUCGAGCUGUCGGCGGAAACCAUCUGGCUAGAGUCCGGAAGAGGAGAAUGGAAUUCCCAGUGUAGUGGUGAAAUACGUAGAGAUUGGGAAGAACACCAGUGGCGAAGGCGGCUAUCUGGACGGUUUCUGACGCUAAGACGCGAAAGCGUGGGGAGCAAACAGG